AGAGUUUGAUCAUGGCUCAGAACGAACGUUGGCGGCGUGGAUUAGGCAUGCAAGUCGUGCGUGAACGGGGCUUCGGCUCCUAGUAAAGCGGCGAACGGGUGAGUAACGCGUGGGGAACCUGCCUUCAAGCGGGGGAUAACACUCCCAACGGGGUGCUAAUACCGCAUGAUAUCUCUUGGUCGCAUGGCCGAGAGCUCAAAGAUGGCCUCUACUUGUAAGCUAUCGCUAGAAGAUGGUCCCGCGUCCGAUUAGCUAGUUGGUGAGGUAACGGCUCACCAAGGCGACGAUCGGUAGCUGGUCUGAGAGGAUGGUCAGCCACACUGGGACUGAGAUACGGCCCAGACUCCUACGGGAGGCAGCAGUCGAGAGGCUUCGGCAAUGGGGGCAACCCUGACCGAGCGACGCCGCGUGAGGGAUGAAGCCCUUCGGGGUGUAAACCUCUUUUCUGGGGGAAGAAAACCGACGAGGUGAACAAUCUCGUCGACUGACGGUACCCCAGGAAUAAGCUCCGGCCAACUCCGUGCCAGCAGCCGCGGUA
rnacentral:rRNA from 1 species